CACACUGAAAAAAGUGCACAAGGCAUGUCAUUACUCUAAAGAAUUUGUUAUACUUGAGCUAACUCAAAACAUUUGAUUUUCUGUCUAGCCAUCAGUGUAAUGUAAAAAGUUUGGUUGAUUUAAAUUAAAAGUAAGUCUUGUUAGUGUAAAGUAAAUACAUUUCUGUAAAUUAAAUUAAAAAUAUUGGUUUCCAUUGUCACGUGACUUCUAACGUCAUCCGUGGUCGUGCGUGUCGACGUUCAGCUUUCCGCCAUCUUGUUAUACCGCAUGGAUGAACUCGGCGUGGUAAAACGGGAAUCAAGAAAAUUGGAUGGGGUACAGCUGAACAACAAUUAUGACAGGUUUUGAAUAAACCAGUCACAUGAAAAACAUUAAUGCCGAAUUUUUGCGCAUCACGACCCUACAUUUACAAUCGAGAAUUAUGGCCUCUUUGGACAGACAGAGCUCUUAGCUUCUCCAGGUUAUUAGGAGCAAAGGUGGAGUCCUCCAU